UAUACGACUCUCGGCAACGGAUAUCUCGGCUCUCGCAUCGAUGAAGAACGUAGCGAAAUGCGAUACUUGGUGUGAAUUGCAGAAUCCCGUGAACCAUCGAGUCUUUGAACGCAAGUUGCGCCCGAGGCCUUUCGGUUGAGGGCACGCCUGCCUGGGCAUCACGC
rnacentral:rRNA from 2 species